CUCUUUGAUAUUAACAUACCAACAGAAUUACAAUAAUAUAAAGGUAGCAAGAGAGUACAUGUACAUUGAGAGGAAGGACAAGCAGUAUAAAUCAGACAGAGACUGUGCAUUAGUACAAUAUUAUGAAGAAAGAGGAGGAGGAGGAGGAGAAGGUGAACUAUCAGAAGCAGUACUAGAAGAACUCAUUAGUCAUUAUGCUGCUGAGAGAAAGAAAAGAACUCAACUAUUUGUACAAUCAUUGAUCAAGAAAAGAAAUAACUAUCUGGAAACAGUAACUGAACAAUAAUUGUCAUUAUGAUUAUACUGCAAAUGAUUAUCAGGUUUAUAAUGUGAGAGUCAA
rnacentral:lncRNA from 1 species